rnacentral:rRNA from 1 species
GAAAUCAUGGCUCAGGAUGAACGCUAGCUACAGGCUUAACACAUGCAAGUCGAGGGGCAGCAUGGUCUUAGCUUGCUAAGGCCGAUGGCGACCGGCGCACGGGUGAGUAACACGUAUCCAACCUGCCGUCUACUCUUGGACAGCCUUCUGAAAGGAGAUUAAUACAAGAUGGCAUCAUGAGUCCGCAUGUUCACAUGAUUAAAGGUAUUCCGGUAGACGAUGGGGG